AGUGAACGCUGGCGGUAGGCCUAACACAUGCAAGUCGAACGGCAGCACAGUCAGAGCUUGCUCUUACGGGUGGCGAGUGGCGGACGGGUGAGGAAUACAUCGGCAUCUACUUUUUCGUGGGGGAUAACGUAGGGAUACUUACGCUAAUACCGCAUACGACCUACGGGUGAAAGCAGGGGAUCUUCGGACCUUGCGCGAUUGAAUGAGCCGAUGUCGGAUUAGCUAGUUGGCGGGGUAAAGGCCCACCAAGGCGACGAUCCGUAGCUGGUCUGAGAGGAUGAUCAGCCACACUGGAACUGAGACACGGUCCAGACUCCUACGGGAGGCAGCAGUGGGGAAUAUUGGACAAUGGGCGCAAGCCUGAUCCAGCCAUGCCGCGUGGGUGAAGAAGGCCUUCGGGUUGUAAAGCCCUUUUGUUGGGAAAGAAAAGCAGCAGGUUAAUACCCCGCUGUUCUGACGGUACCCAAAGAAUAAGCACCGGCUAACUUCGUG
rnacentral:rRNA from 1 species